AGAGUUUGAUCAUGGCUCAGAACGAACGUUGGCGGCGUGGAUUAGGCAUGCAAGUCGAACGAGAACUCCUGGGUAACUGGGAGGGAAAGUGGCGAAAGGGGCAGUAAGGCGUGGGUAACCUACCUCGGGGACUGGAAUAGCCAUCCUAACGGAUGGGUAAUACCGGGCGAUGUAGCCGGAUCGCAUGAUCUGACUACGAAAUGAAUUUCGCCUCGAGAGGGGCUCACGUGGUAUUAGCUAGUUGGUGAGGUAACGGCUCACCAAGGCGAAGAUGCCUAGCAGGUGUGAGAGCACGACCUGCGCCACUGGCACUGGGACACUGGCCAGACACCUACGGGUGGCUGCAGUCGAGGAUCUUCGGCAAUGGGCGCAAGCCUGACCGAGCGACGCCGCGUGUGCGAUGAAGGCCUUCGGGUUGUAAAGCACUGUCGAGGGGGAGGAAGCCGCAAGGUUGACCUAUCCCUGGAGGAAGCACGGGCUAAGUUCGUGCCAGCAGCCGCGGUAAUUC
rnacentral:rRNA from 1 species